GACGAACGCUGGCGGCGUGCCUAAUACAUGCCAGUCGAACGCUUCUUUCCUCCCGAGUGCUUGCACUCAAUUGGAAAGAGGAGUGGCGGACGGGUGAGUAACACGUGGGUAACCUACCCAUCAGAGGGGGAUGACACUUGGAAACAGGUGCUAAUACCGCAUAACAGUUUAUGCCGCAUGGCAUAAGAGUGAAAGGCGCUUUCGGGUGUCGCUGAUGGAUGGACCCGCGGUGCAUUAGCUAGUUGGUGAGGUAACGGCUCACCAAGGCCACGAUGCAUAGCCGACCUGAGAGGGUGAUCGGCCACACUGGGACUGAGACACGGCCCAGACUCCUACGGGAGGCAGCAGUAGGGAAUCUUCGGCAAUGGACGAAAGUCUGACCGAGCAACGCCGCGUGAGUGAAGAAGGUUUUCGGAUCGUAAAACUCUGUUGUUAGGGAAGAACAAGGACGUUAGUAACUGAACGUCCCCUGACGGUAUCUAACCAGAAAGCCACGGCUAACUACGUG
rnacentral:rRNA from 1 species